GUGAAUCAUCGAAUCUUUGAACGCACAUUGCGCCCGCUGGUAUUCUGGCGGGCAUGCCUGUUCGAGCGUCAUCUCCACCAUCAAGCUUCUCGGCUUGCGUUGGGGUUCCUGCGGCUGCCCGCAGGCCCUGAAAAUCAUUGGCGGGCUCGCUGUGAUUACCGAGCGCAGUAAUUUCUCUCCUCCGUAUCGCAGCGAGCACUGGCCGUAAAACACCCCUCAUCCUUCUCCAGGUUGACCUCGGAUCAGGUAGGAAUACCCGCUGAACUUAAGCAUAUCAAUAAGCGGAGGA
rnacentral:misc_RNA from 1 species